GUCGACAGCCAUACCACCCUGAACACUACCGAUCUUAUCUGAUCUCAAAAGCUAAGCAGGCUUCAGCCUGGUUAGUACUUGGAUGGGAGACUGCCUGGGAAUGCCAGGUGAGGAAGGCU
ensembl:rRNA 5S_rRNA 5S ribosomal RNA